GAAGAGUAACAAUACAUCCUAAGUCCUAACAAUCCAAACUCUCGUAUCUUUCUUUUCAAACCCUCCUUAGUGUUACCAAAACAUCUCCUUAGUGUUGCUCGAAACAUCCUCAACGAUUUUUCUUUAAACUGUCCUUGGUAGUGCUCGAGUCAUCUUCAACGAUCUGGCCGUUGCUCGUCUUUCGCAACCUGCUUGAAGGCAUUGACUUCCAUUUCCAUCUUCUGCACAAAUCGAUGAAGCAUCACAAAAAGGAGGGAUUUCUUUGCAUUCUUGAAGAUAUUGUAAAGUAAUUAUCUUAACAGUAGCUGAAACAAUUAUCAAGGAAAAUUAACGAGAAAACCAAAGUCAUGGACAAGAGUUGGAUGUGUCAACCAAGAUCUUCUAGCAGGUCCUUCUUCCCCUAGUUGAUGUCUAUUUAAAACCUCUAGUUGAUGAGAUAAAGGAGUUAUGGGAGAAAGGAUUUGAAACCUAUGAUGCCUCUAGUAAGCAAUAUUUUAUUGUUCGAACUGCAUUACUUUGGACUCUAAGUGAUUUCCCUGCCUAUGCUAUGCUAUCAGGUUGGCGUACUAGUGGAUAGUUGGCGUGCCUUGUGCGUAACUAUGAUACAUGGUCCAAGUACUUGUCAAAAAGUAAAAAGAUGUGCUACAUGGGUCAUCGUAGAUUUUUGGACUCUAAUCAUAAAUGGCGGAAAAAUAAGAAGUGUUUUGAUGGCUAUGAAGAAUUUCAAGUUGCUUCAGUUCCAUUAUUAGGUUCUACUUUAUUGGAAAAAAUUGGCGAAAGACAUAAUUUAUUUGGAAACCCUCAAAAGAGGAAAAUAAAUAAUGUUGAUCUAUGGACAAAAAAAAGUAUAUUAUUUGAGUUGGCAUAUUGGGAUACUAAUUUGCACCGUCACAAUCUCGAUGUAAUGCACAUCGAAAAGAACGUUUGUGAAAAUGUAAUUGGAACACUAUUGAAUGUAGAUGGGAAAUCAAAGGAUCAUAUCAAAGCUUGCCUUGACUUGGUAAAGAUGGGUAUAAGGCAGGACAUUCACCCAAUAGAAAUAGAAUCAAAUAAAUAUUAGUUACCACCUGCACGAUUUACUCUUUCAUCAAAAGAAAAGGAUAUCUUUUGUGGCAUUUUGAAAGGAGUGAAGCUUCUAGAAUAUUAUGGGUCUAAUAUUUCUAAUUGUGUUCAACUUGAGCAGCAAAAACUUCUUGGGCUUAAAAGUCAUGAUUUUCAUAUUCUGAUGCAAGACUUACUUAAAAUAGCAGUACGAAGAGUUUUACCAAAAGAAGUCGCAAGAGUUUUAAUUAAGUUAAGCUCAUUCUUCGAGAUUUUAUGCUCCAAAGUUAUCAAUGUUGAAUUAUUUGAAUGUUUGGAUGUUGAAAUUGCAUUGAUUCUUUGCGAAUUGGAAAGAAUUUUUACCUCCAUCUUUUUUUGUUAUAAUGGUUCAUCUAUCAAUACAUUUAGCAUACAAAGCUAGAAUUGCAGGACCCAUGCAUUAUUGUUGGAUGUAUCCAAUUGACAGGUACUUAGAUGACGAUAUCCAAACAAAAUUCAAUAAACCAGCAAGGAGUUUAGAUGGUCCUAUAGGAGAUGGAGUCAUGACAAGUUUGGAUCCUCUUACAUGGGAGCAAGCUCAUCGAUAUGUGUUAUUCAAUUCUGAAGCUAUCAAACCAUUUCUCAACCAACAUGAAGAAUUUGUUUUCAGUCACAAUCGUCAAGGUUCAACAAGAAAAUGAAAUAAGGCUAAAGAUCAAUGUCUUACUUUUCAUGAAUGAUUUGAAGAUCGAGUAAGGAAUUUAGAUGUUAGUGAAGAUGUUAAAUGGUUGUCUAAAGGGCCAAAUACAGUUGCGAGAAGAUUUUCUGCAAUGCAAUAAAUGGCUACAAGUUUGUCAUUGAAAGUCGUGAAAGAAGCAAGAAAGAUGAAAAUUUGUUGGUAGAAAAUGUUACCUACUAUGGAGUUUUGAAAUAUAUAAUUGAAUUGGAUUACUAUGGACAUUUCAAGUUUGUGUUGUUCAAACGUCAUUGGUUUCAAAUUAAACAAGAUGGUUUUGGAUUGGUACUAAUAAAUGUCCAUAGGUUGAUCUAUGAAAAUGAUCCUUUUGUAUUUGCAUCUCAAGUAAA